GUUGGCGGCCAUAGCUGGGAGCUAGGACCCGUACCCAUUCCGAAAGAACGAGGAACGCUCGUACCGGAAGCACGGAAGUGAAUCUCCCAGGCGAUCUCUGUGGUAGUGUGGUGAGAGAUCCCACGCGAAGCUUAGACCGCUGCCAACC
rnacentral:rRNA from 1 species